UACGUAGGGUGCGAGCGUUAAUCGGAAUUACUGGGCGUAAGGCGUGCGCAGGCGGUUUUGUAAGCCAGAUGUGAAAUCCCCGGGCUUAACCUGGGAAUGGCAUUUGGGACUGCAAGGCUCGAGUGCGGCAGAGGAGACUGGAAUUCCUGGUGUAGCAGUGAAAUGCGUAGAUAUCAGGAGGAACACCGAUGGCGAAGGCAGGUCUCUGAGCUGACACUGACGCUCAUGCACGAAAGCGUGGGGAGCAAACAGG
rnacentral:rRNA from 1 species